rnacentral:rRNA from 1 species
UACGAGAGGCCCAAACGUUAUUCGGAUUUACUGGGCUUAAAGAGUUCGUAGGCGGCGCAGAAAGUAGGGUGUGAAAGCCCUCGGCUCAACCGAGGAAUUGCGCUCUAAACUACUGCGCUCGAGGAACCUAGAGGUGAGCAGAACUGAUGGUGGAGCGGUGAAAUGCGUUGAUAUCAUCAGGAAUACCGGAGGCGAAGGCGGCUCACUGGGGGUUUUCUGACGCUGAGGAACGAAAGCCAGGGUAGCGAACGGG